UUCAUCACUGUCCUUUGACCUUCAGCUCAACCUCAAGCCAAGUUUCUUUCUUUACAUGGUGGUGAAAAGAGUACAGCGGGCGCCUACAAAAUUAGGUUAGAACCCCUCGCCUAAAUUCAAACGGUGCCACAGAAACAACAAGGUUAACCAAAGACGGCCGUUGCUGGACAUGGUAAUCUACAAGGGAGCAGUGUUUGCGGUGUAGCUUGAGGGAGAGCUGUUGAACUUGGAUGGGAAAUAAUUCCUUAAGCUAUCGACGAGCUUCCGGAUGUCAUCUACCAAGGACCAUGUCGGAGUGUUCAGGGCUCGUAUCGAGUUCAAGCACACUAGAAGGGUUCCUCCUUCGUGAAGAAGUACCUGAAAAUUGUAGCAGGUGUAGGAAUAAGGACACCAAAGAAAGGUUUAUGUAUGUGAAUCACAUGGUAACAGGACUACUGAGUAGUGAAGGUACCAAUCUGUUUUAUGCUACCAAGGCAUAUCUGUAUGAUUGCAUUUAUCCAACUCUACAAUUUACUGCUCCCUUCGGUUCACUUUAUAAAGGCAUAGUUUCACAUGCCUGGUCUCCCAAGUUACAUUUUAACCAUUUACACAUUUUAUAUUAUAUUU
rnacentral:misc_RNA from 1 species